rnacentral:lncRNA from 1 species
GGGUGCACACGUGGGUCUUUAGAGUUGGGGCUGGUUUACUAGGCCUUGAGGGUCACAACUUCCGGAAAACUCGACAGCAGCUUCAGUUCUUGAAUCUAAGAUGGGUGAUUCUUCGAUUACAAGAACAUGAGUGUAGGAUGAUAGUGGGGGACACAAGUGUCCUGGGGCUAAGAGGCAAUGACAGAGGCUCACAGGCUGUAGGACUGAAAAGCCGCCUUCCAGGAGGGAGUAGAGGCUACUUAGCUACUUGUUUCUGAUGAGGAUUGAGCCAAAUAAGAAAUGUAGGACAGACUGUAAAUCAACUGUACUUUAAUUAAAAAAAAAAUGUAUGAAGUGGGUCAGAAUUAUAUGCUAUAUAAUCAAUUCCAAGGUCAGUCUUUAACCAGAGUUGAAAAUUCACUUUCUGUUCUAUUUUUCUAUGUUGGCUGCUCUUAUUGUUCAGUGGAGCAUGUCAUAAAUUCAUCAAUCAGAUUAACAACAGUAAGAUACUCCAAUGGUAAAAUGUUCAAAGAGGGUAGGAUAGAAUAACACUAAGAACAGAAAUGUUCCCAAUUUGAAUUUACACUCUACCUCAUUAAAAACAAUUUUGAAAAGAAAUGAAACUAUAAAUGUAACAGUACUUUGUAAGUUAAAGUCAAAGACCAAAAACAAACAAACAAAAAAGAAAUUUAAGACAGAUGAUGUUUAAUUUUUAUUUUCUUUGGACUUCAAAGGUGGGAUAUUAAACUUGCCUUGAAAUUUAACUUAUAAGGGUAUUAGGAAUUAAUUUGGGGACCUAAAAUUUCUCUUUUAGAAUUUGCUGAAAGUAGAGCUUUAUUUUUAAUUUGAGAUAUCUCUCUGUUAAAUGGGUUGAUCUUUCAUUAUCAUUUUGCCUUACCUGGUGAAAUAUAGGGGGCAAAUAGAUUAGAACAGAAACCAGAAUUGAGAGAAAAUCUUCAACGUUUGAGUAAGUUAGGGCCCGGAGUUCAUUCAUGCCCUGCUCUGACCAGUUUCAGGGCUGCAUGAGCAAACGGUAAUGGGCCACUGCUCGUUCCAGCAGCGUACCCUCGUGGGAGCUUGUUGGAAUUGGGGGAACAGUUCUCUUUUCCUACGCAAAGUCUUGAAUAUUUAAAAGAAGGAAUUGCAUGGCUUCAUUUCAGCCACUUUCUCAGUGGUGGCACACACCACUCAGGCACGUGAACGGUGAUCGCACAGCUUUUUAACUGGUUAGUCAAAGCAAGGUGGGCACUUUUCCCAAACCUGACUCCGUGUUGGUCCCCAGGGAAGAGGCUUACCUGUGUGAGCACUGCAGCUAAACCCUGCCUCAAGUUCAGGAAAACAAAGUUAGCUGGAUUCUUGUGGCCACUUUCACUUCAGAAGGUCCUGUUUAUUAACUUGGAGAUUUCUGAAUGGGCAGGCUGAGGUACCAUGCCCUCAGUAAAGCAAAAUGACUCUGUGGCGCUCUAGAUUGACAGUGGGCCAUCAGCAGUAAAAUAAGUGCCAGUAGCCCCUUCUUACCUGAUUAUACAGAGGCUCUGGUUCAAAGGUUUUUCCACCUGCUACAGUCCUGAAAUUGUUUGCUAUUGCUUUUCUCUCUCUCUCUCUCUCUUUUUUUUUUGGUGGCUGCUUGGUGGUUUUGAUAUAUUUGCUGUGAUGCUGUGAGCCAGGGGGGUUCAAGUACAUCUUACAUGACCUUUGGCUGGAUCAUGCUUCAGCAGUCUUGAAAUGAGAUCCCAGGCCGCCUCUGGUCACGUUUUCCAUAAUAUUUUGUAGAACCCCAUAAGCAACAUAAACUUUCUGACCAUCAUUAAAUUGGCUUCAGAACUUUCCCUGCAUCUGUAUAUAUUUUUGUUUUGUUAUUGCUUGCAGUUUGCAAAAUUUCACCAUAUGACCUCUAGUGCUAUGAAAAUAGCUGCGUGGUAGUGGAAAUGAAAACAGCACAAACCCUUAAAAAUCAGCAUGGUAGAGAAAAUGCCACGCUAUCCUGGUGAGAGGUUUUUUUUUUUUUUUUUAAUGAGAAGUCCUUUUUUUUCUCAGUUUUUUUCCUUCAAAAAUAAAAUUUUGAUACACUCAUAUCACAGUUAGAUAAUAAAUUUUCAUUCUGUCUGGAGGGAGAAAGUAGAGGCAAUGGAAAAAACAACAGGGUUCAGAUUAAUAGGAGAUGACAAGGUGACCAAACAGGAGGUGGCAGCCCUGCCAGGUCCAUGGCUGCAUGGCUGUGACAGGCAAUUAGCGAUCGCAGCGGGCCAGAUGUAGUGGGAGACAGCAGUGAUGCACUGAGGGCUUCCUGGCUCCUCCGCUGCCUCUAUCAUUCAUGGUGUUUGCAGAGACAAAUAAACACUAAUACAUUUUUCUUAAUGAAGUUAUAUUAGGAAGAAAGAGAGAGACAGAAUCAGGAGAUCAGAAAAACCCUGGAUGCAGCAGAGACAGUCUCCCCAACUCGUGCUGCAGUAGAGGAAACGAGCAUGGUCAAACUCUUUAAUAGCAGGUUUUGAUUUUUUUACGUGACCUCACAGAAUUUGCAGCAAUUUUUAGAAGUCACCUGGCAUAUGAACCUUGAAUCUUUACUAGCUAAUGUAAAAAAAAUGUGAUGCUCUUUCUCUGUAGGUAGAUGAACUGGCAUUGAAGUUAACACUGUAACCGCCUGCAUAGAUGUAACUGUACACUGAGUUAAUGUUAUUUCUGCAUAUCACAGUUUGGUCUUCAGUUUCUAUGAUGCAGUAUCUUCAGAGGUAUAAUUACUCCCCAAAAAUGGGGAAUAAAAUUAAUAAUACAGUUAGCAGCCCAUCCCCCAGAAAAUUUAGUUUUACCCCUACGCACAUGAUGCAUCUUUUCCACAUACCACAUAACACUCUCAAAUGCAAACCUUAAGCAAUCUUUUUAUUCUUUUUUUCCCCCCCCACUUCCAGGGCAGUGGAAGUUCCUGGGCCAGGGAUCGAACCCAUGCCACAGCAGCAACCUGAGCUGCUGUAGUUACAAUACCAGACCUUUACCCUACUGGACUAUAAGGGAACUCCUAAAUAAGCUUUUCAAAUUAAAUAUUGAAUGCUUGAAUAACCUUCAUAUAUUUAAAUAUUAUGGACAUAUUAAAAUUGGAAUAUAGCAAUGGAAAAUACAAGCUGUCAGAGCAGUAGCUGGCAUUAUCGAUGUAUCAUAUGAUCACCUGGACUGAAGUAUAAGAAAACAAAUCUCAAUCGUGUUUGCCAUUUAUGCAACAUGGAAGCAGGAAAAAUGAAGAUGCUAACGUGUUGGAUGUAUGACUUCAGAACUGAUCCACUAGCUUGCGUUAUCAUUCCAAGUUUCCGUAACUUUGAAGCAGAUGUUUCUGAAUUCUCAUUUAUCUAGACACCAUGUAUAAUGAGAUGAAAAUAUAGAAACAUUUGCUUGAAUGCACCAAUCUGCAAAAAUGCACCUUUAUGGUAAAGAGACAUUUAAAUAAAUCUACCCCAAUCCAUUUUACUAUUCUCAUGAAAUUAUGAGAUUUGGAAUUUCAGUCAAAAUCAAUUUAGGAAUGAUGCCUUUAAAAAGUCCAUUUUACUACUCCACAUCACACCUAUUUUUUAAUUAAAGUUCAUUUAUUUAUCACUUUGCUCACUCCUGUCCUUAUCAAAAUAAGUUCCAAAUUUUUUCAAGUAUUUCUAACAGAUAGAAUUUACUUUCAAAGAAUGCAUAUUAAACACUUUUGAAGAUAUUGAAAUGAGUGUAGCAUAGUCUUUCAAUACUAUUUUAAAAGAGAAAAUAAAAAAAUACUUUUAAUCAUAACAGUAACAUUGGUAUAAUGAGCUUUUGAAUGUGUUAACACACAUCGAGAUGGACACAUUUCCAAAUAAGAGAAGUUCAAGUUUCUUUUUUGUUCUAGAGAUGAUUCUCCUGAAACAAGACACAAAAUAUUUUUUGGGGUUUUAUCUUUACAACCACUUCUUUGGUUGACAAGGUAGAGUUGCCUUAGGUUAUAUGGUGGGUAAGUUAGUCAACCGUUCUCAAACUCAUUUUUCUAAACCUUAAAAUCAACCUCAUAAACAUCUUUGAGAGAGGAUGGUGUAAAUUUAAAUACUGUGUAUGUACAUGUUAGAUCCAGCACAAUGCCUACGACAGAGAAUGUGCUCUACACACGUUUCAUGUUAUUGUUGUUCAUGAUUCCUUCAUCUGCAGCACAUCAGCAUCUUCUAAACUCGAGGGCCUGCACGUGUGCCUGCGUGUGUAAAGGAUACUUGAAUUUUGAUCGCCUAUUUUAUGGUGUAAGGAGAGUUUGAGUUCCUUGCCAUGAAGACUUCCCAGAUCCUUGGUGCAGCAAGGCUGCCACCCCGAUAAUGACUUGCAUUGUGUUCUGUCAUUUCCUCAUGAGGUGAACAUUUCCUUUAGUGAAGAGGAGGGCAUGUGUCGAAUUCUUCCCUACCACUCUGUGGACACAGAUAUCAGGAGGGUUACAGUGGUGCUUUGGUCCCUGAGUCAAACAGAUGCGUUUCAGCUCUCCUUGUACUUGUAUUUAUCCAUCGUAUUGGUGGCUGUGGGUCACCUCUUCUUCCUUCUCCUGCUUUCUUUCUGCCCUCUCUGAGAAUUGGAGAGGCCAUCUACCUCCUCAGAUUUUGCAGUCUUCUUUGCUCUUGCCCGUUUGCUGAGCAUCUGACAAAACUAGUCUUGGUCAAGACUUUGUCCUAGGCCCCCCUUUCCUGUGAUUUUACAAACCUCCUUGGGCAAUCCAGCUUCAAAAAUUGUGUCAAAUAACUAAAAAAUAUAUAUACCACCAGAACAAUAGCCUUGGAAUGUUAAACCAGGAUAAUUCUUGUUCUUAAAAUUCCUUGUUCACAGGUCCACUGCUUUUUCUGUGUCAAGAGCUACAUCUUCCAGGCUCAUGUCAUAAGGUGGCAUGAAUCGGUUCUCACCCCUAGUGCCAUGGGUGCUCAUCAGAAAGUCAUACCUUGUGCAUUAAGAUGCACGAUGUCAGCGUAGCUUCUUUGAAAUCCAUCAUUUCUGGGAGUUCCUAUUGUGGCUCACCAGUAAUGAACUGGACUAGUGUCCAUGAUGGCGCUGGUUCAAUCCCUGGCCUUGCUCAAUGGGUUAAGGAUCCUGUGUUUCUGUGAGCUAUGGUGCAGGUCGAAGAUGUGGCUUGGAUACUGCGUUGCUGAGGCUGUGGUGCAGGCUGGCAGCUGCAUUUCCAAUUUGACCCCUAGCCUGGGAACCUCGCUAUGCCACAGGUGUGGCCUUAAAAAUAAAAUAAAAUAAAAAUCUGUCACUUGUUAUCAUCUCAUAGCUGCAAUUAAUUAUUUAAAAUGUGUAUUUUAGGUGGAUAUGGAGACGAGUUGAAAAAUUUAAACUUGACUUACAGUUAUCUUGGUCAUUUUUGUUUUACAUUUUCUUUCUUGGAGGUCUCAGUUUAUUUUGGCAAAUACUCUUGUUAUUUUUUUCUUUGGAUUUUUACUCUGCAAGGCAUUUUGUGCAUGGGCUCAUUGAACUCUUGAUUAUGGGGAGUAAGGCAGCCUGAGAUGCAUUUACUGUCCUUAAGAUCUAUGCUGUUCUCUUUGGGGCAGUAGUCUUUCUGGUUUGCCCUUGUGAUUAUUGAGGCAUGACUCGAUAUAAGAAGAUCUGGGGCACUAAGCUGGCACCAUGCCUGGAUUUUAUGGCCUGAAAUAUCUAUAGGAGACCACACAGUCAGAAACAGGGCUUCUUUACCAUGUUUGGGGGCUUUUAUGAACCUCUAGUUUUCCAGGCACUUCUGCAGUCCCUUAGAGAAGCAUGUAAGGGACUUUACAGUUCAACUUUAUUAAAAUAUAGUUGAUUUACAGUGUUGUGUCAAUUUUUGCUGUACAGCAUAGUGAUCCAGUCAUAUCUCUAGGUAUGAUAUGAGUGGAUCUAUGCAGGUUAUAUUCCCUGUGCCGUACAGUGGGACAUCCUUGCUUAUCUGUUCUAAAUGUAAUAGUUUGGAUCUACCAACCCCAAACUCCGCAUCCAUCCCCUCCCUCCUCCCAUCCCCCUUGGCAACCACAAGUCUGUUUUCUAUGUCUAUAAAUCUGUUUCUGUUUUGUAGAUAGGUUCAUUUGUGCCAUAUUUUAGAUUCCACAUGUAAGUGAUAUCAUAUGGUAUUUGUCUUUCUCUUUCUGACUUACUUCACUUAGUAUGAGAAUCUCUAGUUCCAUCCAUAUUGCUGCGAAUGGCAUUUUUCUGUUAUGGCUGAGUAGUAUUCCAUUGCAUGUAUGUACCACAUCUUCUUAAUCCAUUCAUCUGUUGAUGGACAUUUAGGUUGUUUCCAUGUCUUGGCUAUUGUGAAUAAUACUUCAAUGACUAUACAGGUGCAUGCAUCUUUUGGAAUUAUAGUUUUGUCUGGAUAUAUGUUGUCUGUAUACACAAGACAUGUAUACAGUGCCCCGUCCAGCUUCCCGGGGGGGUGUUUCUAUUAUGAGGAUGCACAGGUCUUGUCUCAGCCCUGAUUCUGUGUUUUUAUUGUUCUCACUAUGUCCUGGAGUGGGAAGGGCAGAUUUUUCACUCUUUCUCUUUGCUACAAACACCCUAUCCCCUUCCUCCCUGAAACUGCAUGUUGGGAUUCUACUGGCAGAAUGUCAGCUUUUUUCUCCUGGGGUUGAAGUCUGUCCACUGUUACGCUAACUUGGGGUGCUGCAGCUGGGAAUGUAAAAUUGCAUUUGAGACUUUAGAUUGCUUUAAGAGAGCAGUGGAGACUGGAACACAGGUGUAGGGAGGGAGAAGAAACUUCUUUCCUCUUUCUAGCUGUUCUGCUCAGUGUGGCCCCAGCAGCAGCAUUUACCCCAAGCAGUUGUUUCUGGUCUCCAGCUUCUUUUGAUUUUCGCAGAACAAGCCCCAGUUCACCUCUUCAGAAGCACCAGCACCACCCAGGUAACGCACUUUGCUCACACAGACCUCAGCCCUUUGGAUCCCUCUUCCAAAGUCAUAAAUUUCGGUACUUGAGUGUUUUUCUCGCCCCACCCCCAGCCAACUGCAAGCACUGAAGUCAGGGUCUCCUUGCUGUAGAUCCUGACUCCAAGUUCUUUCAUGUCCCCUUUCUGCUCUCUAAGCUCCCCACUCCUGUGUAAAUCGUUCCCAUAUGAACUUGCCCCUGUUGAAGUGUCCACUGUGGUUUCUCUUUUCCUGAUUGGACUUCACCUGAUUUUUUAAAAGCCGCAUUAUUGGUAGAAUAAUGCCUCUCCAAAUGUCCAUGUCAUAAUCCCCAGAACCUGGGAUUCUGUUAGGUUACAUGCCAAAGGGGAAUUAAGAUUCUAGAUGGAAAUAAGGUUGCUAAUCACACAACGUUAAAAUAAGGAAAGAACCUUGGAAUAUCCAGGUGUGCCCACAGUAAUCACAGAGAUUAUUUUUUUUUACCUUGACAACAACCUCUUUAUUUGUUUAUUUUAAUUAAAGUAUAGUUGUUUUUCAAAAUGGUGCCAAUUUCUGCUGCACAGCAAAUUUCCUGAGAAAACUAAAAGUAGAAAUUCCAAUCGUAGCUCAGUGAGUUAAGAAUGCAACUACUUUUUGUGAGGAUGCGGAUUUGAUCUCUGGCCUCGCUCAGUGGGUUAAGGAGCUGGCAUUGCCACAAGCUGUGGGGUGGGUUGCAGAUGCUGCUAGGAUCUCAUGUUGCUAUGGCUGUGGCGCAGGCCUACAGCUGCAGCUCCUAUUUGACUCCUAGCUGGGAACUUCCAUAUGUCUUGGGUGUAGCCCUAAAAAGAUAAACAAAAUAAAUUUAAAAAGUCUAAAGGCAUGCAGAUUGCUGGCUACGAAGAUUGAGGAAGGGGCCAUGAGCCAAGAAAUAAGGACAGCACCUAGAAGCUGGAAAAGGCCAGGAGAAUCUCAUAUUGUAUGCAGUUAAAGUAACUCUUGACAUGGAGAGGACAGGCUUUGUCAUUGUCGGCUGUAUCAGUAAGUAAUGGUGUCUGCAUGCCUAUGCAAAGUUGAACAGUAAACUUGUCAUUCAACCUUGAUGAUUUAAAGACAGAUGAGAUCGUCCGUUGGCACUUAAUUGGCAGUCAUUUCUAAUGUUCAUUAGCAGGGGUACAGGCUAUAUUUAUAAAUGAACAUUAUGUUAUCAAUAAAAUCAAUUGCAAUCCCAAAUACUACUUAGAUUCUACUCUAAAAAAAAAAAAA